UAAAAACAUAAAAAGCUUUGGCCUUAUUCUCUUUUAUCUCUUACUGUCUCUGAUAUCAACAACUUUUUGGUUAUGAAGCAGCGAGUUUGGACAAACCAGGAGCAGGUUCUGGUCGAUGGGUUUUUACUACAUUGACAAGUGGCUGUGAAGAGUGAAGCACACAUCCCUGAGUGUAAAAGGCGUACUGAGAUGCAUGAAAGCCUGCAAUUAUACAUCGGUGACAGGAGUGAAAUCCAUCUUUGCUGUUUCUAUUUCGACGACGCCUUUACCACAGCAGCAGAGACAUGGAUUAGAGGACAAAAAACGGCUUUGCUUGUAAUUGAUGCUUUAGUAUAGAAUUCUCAUUUGGUUGUUACUGUUAUCGAUGAAUACUCGUAGAGGUGGCAAUAGUUGCCCAAAAACAAUUGAUUGGGUGAUUUUGGAUCAUUUUCCAUUCAUUUUGGGUGUGAAUGGGUGGUAGUGAUUAUAUUGGAAUGGGUGAUUUGAAAAUAUAUUCAUAAAAACUCUGGAUCUAAUUGGGUAAAGAUCUUAGCCUGGACGGGUUAGAAUGGGCAAAAUACGGUUGAAUGAAAAAAGAAUUUUAGAAGGAUGAUUUCAAUCCCAAAGUCAGGUAUAUGGAUAUGGUGGUGGUGAAAGUUGAAACAGCUGUGUGGAUAUUUAAAACAUUUGCUAUUUCCAGAUUUAAAAUUGUCAAGUUUAGGAAAAGUGUACUACAGUAAAUUGUACAUUGUGAAAAUAAAUCUGUACAUUAAUUUGGUGAAAGAAAUAUAUUACAAGCCAGACUGAAAUGAAGAAAAAAGAAUACGAAUAGAAAGUUGGAAUGGACAAGAAUUUGAUGAAA